AUUGCUUUUCGGCGUUUUAGUUAAGAUUAAGUGUAGUAUCAGGUUUUAUCAGUUUAACAUCUGAUUCAUUCUUUAUCUGAGGACAAUAUGUUAGAUGGGUUUUUGGAGUAGGGAGAUGAAAUAGGAGCUUGUUCUGUCCACUCCACGUAUUGACAGAAACGGUGCACUUGCUUGAGCGAUACAUAUGUC
ensembl:snRNA U2 U2 spliceosomal RNA